UUGCUUUGGCAGCACAUAUACUAAAAUUGGAAUGAUAUAGAGAAGUUAGUAUGGCCCCUGUGCAACGAUGACCUACAAAUUUGUGAAGAAUUCCAUAUUUUU